rnacentral:lncRNA from 1 species
AACAGGAUAAAAAUGAAGUACUUUUGGAAUAAAAAUUAUCAUAUUGUGAUAGAAAAUUAUAAUGAUACACAAGUUGAUUGAUAAAACAUUAUUUGCAUUAAUUUCUUGAAUACCUUGUCCUUAUAUAUAGUAAAGGACUUUUAGGGUUUAAGUUUUGAAUUUUUGGAGGGAUAUUGAUUGUAUUUUAGAUUUUGACAGUGUAUCUAUAAUAUUUUAAAGUUUUAGAGAGGUAGGUUAAAAAUUUCUCCAACUUAUUUCGACAUCCAAAUAGACUCAUAUUUAAAGUCCUC